rnacentral:rRNA from 1 species
CGCGUAGGCGGCUGUGCAAGUAGGAGGUGAAAUCCCUCGGCUCAACCGAGGAACUGCCUCCUAAACUGCACGGCUUGAGUCCCGGAGAGGGUAACGGAAUUCCCAGUGUAGCGGUGAAAUGCGUAGAUAUUGGGAGGAACACCAGUGGCGAAGGCGGUUACCUGGACGGGUACUGACGCUGAGGCGCGAAAGCGUGGGGAGCAAACA